GACAGAGGAUGCAAGCGUUAUCCGGAAUGAUUGGGCGUAAAGCGUCUGUAGGUGGCUUUUUAAGUCUGCCGUCAAAUCCCAGGGCUUAACCCUGGACAGGCGGUGGAAACUACCAAGCUGGAGUACGGUAGGGGCAGAGGGAAUUUCCGGUGGAGCGGUGAAAUGCGUAGAGAUCAGGAAGAACACCGGUGGCGAAAGCGCUCUGCUAGGCCGCAACUGACACUCAUGGACGAAAGCUAGGGGAGCGAAUGGG
rnacentral:rRNA from 1 species